AAGGAUCAUUAAUGAAUUCACUAUGGAGUUGUUGCUGGCCUCUAGGGGAAUGUGCACGCUUCACUAGUCUUUCAACCACCUGUGAACUUUUGAUAGAUCUGUGAAGUCGUCUCUCAAGUCGUUAGACUUGGUUUGCUGGGAUGUAAACGUCUCGGUGUGACUACGCAGUCUAUUUACUUAUAACACCCCAAAUGUAUGUCUACGAAUGUCAUUUAAAGGGCCUUGUGCCUAUAAACCAUAAUACAACUUUCAACAACGGAUCUCUUGGCUCUCGCAUCGAUGAAGAACGCAGCGAAUGCGAUAAGUAAUGUGAAUUGCAGAAUUCAGUGAAUCAUCGAAUCUUUGAACGCACCUUGCGCCCCUUGGUAUUCCGAGGGGCAUGCCUGUUUGAGUGUCAUUAAAUUCUCAAACUCACUCUGGUUUUUCCAAUUGUGAUGUUUGGAUUGUUGGGGGCUGCUGGCCUUGACAGGUCGGCUCCUCUUAAAUGCAUUAGCAGGACUUCUCAUUGCCUCUGCGCAUGAUGUGAUAACUAUCACUCAUCAAUAGCACGCAUGAAUAGAGUCUGGCUCUCUAACCGUCCGCAAGGACAAUUUGACAAUUUGACCUCAAAUCAGGUAGGACUACCCGCUGAACUUAAA
rnacentral:rRNA from 1 species